CCUACGGGGGGCAGCAGUGGGGAAUAUUGCACAAUGGGGGAAACCCUGAUGCAGCGACGCCGCGUGAGUGAAGAAGUAUUUCGGUAUGUAAAGCUCUAUCAGCAGGGAAGAAGAAAGACGGUACCUGACUAAGAAGCCCCGGCUAACUACGUGCCAGCAGCCGCGGUAAUACGUAGGGGGCAAGCGUUAUCCGGAUUUACUGGGUGUAAAGGGAGCGUAGACGGCUGUGCAAGUCUGAAGUGAAAGCCCAGGGCUCAACCCUGGGACUGCUUUGGAAACUGUGGAGCUAGAGUGCUGGAGAGGUAAGUGGAAUUCCUAGUGUAGCGGUGAAAUGCGUAGAUAUUAGGAGGAACACCAGUGGCGUAGGCAGGUUACUGGGACGGUUCUGACACUAAGGCACGAAAGCGUAGGGAGCAAACGGGAUUAGAUACCCCUGUAGUC
rnacentral:rRNA from 1 species